rnacentral:rRNA from 1 species
GGGUAGGGGAGCGUUCUGUAAGCCUGUGAAGGUGUGCUGUGAGGCAUGCUGGAGGUAUCAGAAGUGCGAAUGCUGACAUAAGUAACGAUAAAGCGGGUGAAAAGCCCGCUCGCCGGAAGACCAAGGGUUCCUGUCCAACGUUAAUCGGGGCAGGGUGAGUCGACCCCUAAGGCGAGGCCGAAAGGCGUAGUCGAUGGGAAACAGGUUAAUAUUCCUGUACUUGGUGUUACUGCGAAGGGGGGACGGAGAAGGCUAUGUCGGCCGGGCGACGGUUGUCCCGGUUUAAGCGUGUAGGCUGACUUUCCAGGCAAAUCCGGAGAGUUAAGGCUGAGGCGUGAUGACGAGGCACCACGGUGCUGAAGUGACAAAUGCCCUGCUUCCAGGAAAAGCCUCUAAGCAUCAGGUAACAUCAAAUCGUACCCCAAACCGACACAGGUGGUCAGGUAGAGAAUACCAAGGCGCUUGAGAGAACUCGGGUGAAGGAACUAGGCAAAAUGGUGCCGUAACUUCGGGAGAAGGCACGCUGACAUGUAGGUGAAGCCCCUGCGGGUGGAGCUGAAGUCAGUCGAAGAUACCAGCUGGCUGCAACUGUUUAUUAAAAACACAGCACUGUGCAAACACGAAAGUGGACGUAUACGGUGUGACGCCUGCCCGGUGCCGGAAGGUUAAUUGAUGGGGUUAUCGCAAGAGAAGCUCCUGAUCGAAGCCCCGGUAAACGGCGGCCGUAACUAUAACGGUCCUAAGGUAGCGAAAUUCCUUGUCGGGUAAGUUCCGACCUGCACGAAUGGCGUAAUGAUGGCCAGGCUGUCUCCACCCGAGACUCAGUGAAAUUGAACUCGCUGUGAAGAUGCAGUGUACCCGCGGCAAGACGGAAAGACCCCGUGAACCUUUACUACAGCUUGACACUGAACAUUGAGCCUUGAUGUGUAGGAUAGGUGGGAGGCUUUGAAGCGUGGACGCCAGUCUGCGUGGAGCCGACCUUGAAAUACCACCCUUUAAUGUUUGAUGUUCUAACCUGGCGCCGUAAUCCGGCGUGGGGACAGUGUCUGGUGGGUAGUUUGACUGGGGCGGUCUCCUCCCAAAGUGUAACGGAGGAGCACGAAGGUCAGCUAAUCCUGGUCGGACAUCAGGAGGUUAGUGCAAUGGCAUAAGCUGGCUUGACUGCGAGAGUGACGGCUCGAGCAGGUGCGAAAGCAGGUCAUAGUGAUCCGGUGGUUCUGUAUGGAAGGGCCAUCGCUCAACGGAUAAAAGGUACUCCGGGGAUAACAGGCUGAUACCGCCCAAGAGUUCAUAUCGACGGCGGUGUUUGGCACCUCGAUGUCGGCUCAUCACAUCCUGGGGCUGAAGUAGGUCCCAAGGGUAUGGCUGUUCGCCAUUUAAAGUGGUACGCGAGCUGGGUUUAGAACGUCGUGAGACAGUUCGGUCCCUAUCUGCCGUGGGCGCUGGAGAAUUGAGGGGGGCUGCUCCCAGUACGAGAGGACCGGAGUGGACGCAUCACUGGUGUUCGGGUUGUCAUGCCAAUGGCACUGCCCGGUAGCUAAAUGCGGAAGAGAUAAGUGCUGAAAGCAUCUAAGCACGAAACUUGCCCCGAGAUGAGUUCU